AGUAGGGAAUAUUGCACCAUGGGCGAAAGCCUGAUGCAGCAACGCCGCGUGAGCGAUGAAGGCCUUCGGGUCGUAAAGCUCUUUUCAAGGGGAAGAGGAAGGACGGUACCCUUGGAAUAAGUCUCGGCUAACUACGUGCCAGCAGCCGCGGUAAAACGUAGGAGGCGAGCGUUAUCCGGAUUUACUGGGCGUAAAGCGCGUGUAGGCGGCGUAGAAAGUUGGAUGUGAAAGCUCCUGGCUUAACUGGGAGAGGUCGUUCAAAACUUCUAUGCUUGAGUUUGGUAGAGGAAAAUGGAAUUCCGGGAGUAGUGGUGAAAUGCGUAGAUAUCCGGAGGAACACCAGUGGCGAAAGCGAUUUUCUGGACCAAUACUGACGCUCAGACGCGAAAGCUAGGGUAGCAAACGGGAUUAGAGACCCCGGUAGUCCUAGCUGUAAACGAUGUAGACUUGGCGUUGGGUGGGUAAAACUACUCAGUGCCGAAGCAAACGCGAUAAGUCUACCGCCUGGGGACUACGGCCGCAAGGUUA
rnacentral:rRNA from 1 species